rnacentral:rRNA from 1 species
UUGGAGGGCAAGUCUGGUGCCAGCAGCCGCGGUAAUUCCAGCUCCAAUAGCGUAUAUUAAAGUUGUUGCAGUUAAAAAGCUCGUAGUUGAAUUUCGGGGUUAGUAGGUUGGUCAUGCCUCUGGUAUGUACUGAUCUCACUGAUUCCUCCUUCCUGAUGAACCGUAAUGCCAUUAAUUUGGUGUUGCGGGGAAUUUGGACUGUUACUUUGAAAAAAUUAGAGUGUUUAAAGCAGGCUAACGCUUGAAUACAUUAGCAUGGAAUAAUGAAAUAGGACGUUCGAUCCUAUUUUGUUGGUUUCUAGGAUUGACGUAAUGAUUAAUAGGGAUAGUUGGGGGCAUUAGUAUUCAAUUGUCAGAGGUGAAAUUCUUGGAUUUAUUGAAGACUAACUACUGCGAAAGCAUUUGCCAAGGAUGUUUUCAUUAAUCAAGAACGAAAGUUAGGGGAUCGAAGACGAUCAGAUACCGUCGUAGUCUUAACCAUAAACUAUGCCGACUAGGGAUCGGAUGAUGUUAAUUUUUUAAUGACUCAUUCGGCGCCUUACGGGAAAC